rnacentral:tRNA from 1 species
GCCUGGCUGGCUCAGUUGGUGGAGCAUGUGACUCUUGAUCUCAGGGUUGGGAGUUUGAGCCCCACGUUAAGCA